UGAGCGGCAAAGCUCAAAUUUGAAAGCUGGCUUUCGGGCCCGCGUUGUAAUUUGCAGACUUGGAACUUUGGGCGUUGGUUGGCUAAGUCCCUUGGAACAGGGUGCCUUAGAGGGUGAGAGCCCCGUGAGCCGACUUUUGCGUCUUUUAAGUCCUUGUCGACGAGUCGAGUUGUUUGGGAAUGCAGCUCUAAGUGGGUGGUAAAUUCCAUCUAAAGCUAAAUAUUGGCGGGAGACCGAUAGCGAACAAGUACAGUGAUGGAAAGAUGAAAAGCACUUUGAAAAGAGAGUGAAACAGUACGUGAAAUUGUUGAAAGGGAAGGGUAUUUGAUCCGACAUGAAGAUUAGCUAUCGUUGCUCCUUGUGGGCGGCGCUCUAGGUUUUCUUUGGGCCAGCAUCAGUUUUGUCGGGAGGAGAACAGUGUCUGAUCUGCUUCGGCGGUGACGGCUCUUAUGCUCCCAGAUGGGACUGAGGACUGCCAUUGUAGGAUGCUGGCAUAACGGUCAAAUAUCGCCCGUCUUG
rnacentral:rRNA from 1 species